CAAUAGCGUAUAUUAAAGUUGUUGCAGUUAAAAAGCUCGUAGUUGGAUUUCUGGUCGGAAGCUCCUGUCCUCUGAUGAGCGUACAAGUGCGUCCUACCAUCCUUCUGUUAACCUUUAAGGCUUUCGCGGCUUUCUAGGGGCUCAGAUAUUUUACCUUGAGAAAAUUAGAGUGUUUCAGGCAGGAUAGCGCCGGAAUACAUUAGCAUGGAAUAAUGGAAUAGGACUUUUGCCUCUUCUGUUGGUCAUGAGGCUCGAGUAAUGAUUAAUAGGGAUAGUUGGGGGCAUUAGUACUUAACUGUCAGAGGUGAAAUUCUCGGAUUUGUUAAAGACUAACUUAUGCGAAAGCAUUUGCCAAGGAUGUUUUCAUUAA
rnacentral:rRNA from 1 species